rnacentral:misc_RNA from 1 species
AAUGAUGAUUAUAGCGGACACUGAACAUGAUGACGCUGAGCGUACUGAUA